GAGUUAGCCGAUGCUUAUUCCUCAGGUACCGUCAAAAUUCUUCCCUUGAGAAAAGAGGUUUACAAUCCAAGAACCUUCCUCCCUCACGCGGUAUUGCUCCGUCAGGCUUUCGCCCAUUGCGGAAAAAUUCCCC
rnacentral:rRNA from 1 species